GACGAACCGUGCGAACGUUGUUCGGAAUUACUGGGCGUAAAGCGUGCGCAGGCGGUUUUGUAAGUCUGUCGUGAAAUCCCCGGGCUCAACCUGGGAAUUGCGAUGGAGACUGCAAGGCUAGAAUCUGGCAGAGGGGGGUAGAAUUCCACGUGUAGCAGUGAAAUGCGUAGAGAUGUGGAGGAACACCGAUGGCGAAGGCAGCCUUCUGGGCCAACACUGACGCUCAUGCACGAAAGCGUGGGGAGCAAACAGG
rnacentral:rRNA from 1 species